UACGGAGGAUGCAAGCGUUGUUCGGAAUCAUUGGGCGUAAAGGGCGCGUAGGUGGUUCUGUAUGUCUACCGUGAAAGCGUACGGCUCAACCGUAUUUUGUCGGUGGAAACUGCAGGACUUGAGGCUGGGAGGGGCUGGUGGAAUUCCCUGUGUAGCGGUGAAAUGCGUAGAGAUGGGGGAGAACACUCGUGGCGAAGGCGGCCAGCUAGACCAGUUCUGACACUGAGGCGCGACAGCGUGGGGAGCAAACAGG
rnacentral:rRNA from 1 species